AUCAGCGCCGUCCACUCGCGGCCGAAGCCCCUUUCCGCCAGCACCCUGCGCAAUUCCCGGCUGUUCGCCCGCGGCCCGGGGGACACGGAGCCGAGCGGAGGCGGCACCAGGAGCCCGGCGAGAGCCCCGGACACGCCGGGAACUCCGGACCGCGGCACCCGGGCCAAGCUGAGCCCCGGAGCCCCCCGGGAGUGUUUGUAGGAGAACGGGACGGACACGGAUCCGAGGCACCUGGGCAGCUCUUCCUCCUCAAGUCCUGAGCUCCAAUCCACACCCGAGGGAUGGAGGAUCAGGAUCCUCCCCAGGCUGUCCCUUGUCUCUCCACCGUCCCAGUUCACAGCCCCGUUCCCGGUUACUGCAGGACUAUUUGGGGAGUCUCCCAUUCCCCUCUCCAGGGUUCCCUCCCCACGGGAUUGUGCCUGGCAGGAGGGAAAUGUCCCCAGCCCAGUUUUAGCUUCGGUCCCUUUGCUGGUGUGGCCAAACCCUUUCCCUGAUCCCAGGGUGAUCCUUCCAAGGAAAGAAUCACUCAGAUUUCCACACUGUGGGAGAGGAAGGAAAACAACCGCAGGGAUGGAUUUGUCACCUGGAUUGACAGAUCUGGUGACACCCUGGGGGUCCCUCGGCCACCUCAGGGUAUUUCCCUGCCUUUGUGGGGGGACCCCCAUUCCUUCAGCAAAGCUAAAACGCCUCAAAACUGAUUUCCAUAAUCCCUUCCUCUUUCCAGACUCCACACAGCAGUUCCAGCUCCUAAAAUUGGGAUGUCAGUUCUUAUUUAACUGCACUGGGAACAGCCUGGUUUGGGGUGGGAGGGACCUCAAAACUCAUCCCAUUCCACCCCCAUGGGCAGGGACACCUCCCACUGUCCCAGGGUUCUCCAAACCCCAAUGUCCAGCCUGGCCUUGGGCACUUUCAGGGAUCCAGGGGCGCACCCACAGCUUCUCUGGGAAAUCCAUUCCAGGCCCUCCCCAUCCUCACAGGGAGGAAUUUCCUUCCUAAAAUCCAAUCCAAAUCCUCCCUCUUUCAGCCUAAAGCUGGAGAACUCCCUCGCCUUUGUAUUUAUUGACCUCAGCUUGUACCUGACCCGGCUGCCCCGAUGGGCUGAUCCCAAUCCCAAUCCUGAUCUCAACCUUGAUCCCAACCCCAAUCCCAGUUCUCCAGAGCUCCCGAAGCCAGCCCUGGAAGUGCCCCUUGGCCACACUCGGGGAUGCUGUGGCCUCUUCCCAUCCCAGUAUUUUCCCUCCUGGCUCCAGCCCCCCCUAAUUCCCGGAUUCCCGGUCCCCAUUCCCACAUUCCCGUAGGACUCAGCUCUGGCUCUCGGGGUUUGGCUGUCACAAUAAAGCUCUGUCACCCAAA